AGGGAGAAGAAGCUGCUGGGGAAGAGAGCUGGAAGUGAAAAAGCUGAAAGUAAAGAAGCUGCUGCCUGAACCCGCCUUGGUGUCCUUGUCGUUCUUGUCUCUGUGAGUCGGAGACUGUGGCAAGUGGUGGCCCUUACGGGGAACUCAUCGCAUUGAAAGAGACAGGUUGAAGAUGAAGACAGAAGAAGCUGGAGAAUGAGGAGCCUCCAGAAUUAGUUUGAGUUCAAGCAGACCAAUGCAGUAAGAAGCCAAGAAGGCAGUCUGAAUCAGUCGUCUUGAAGAGGAGUUUGGACCAGGAAUGAUAAAAAAAAAAAAAACAAAACACCAUAAAAAUAGUUCCAUGACAAUUCUUUCAUGAUAAUCUCUGAAAAAGAAAAUCAUGUUGACUUCAAAGAUUAACUAGGAACUCACAUCAUUGGAAGGAGAAUGACUUGCAAACAAGAAAAGAUAAAAGUGAUGAAGAGACAAAUGUGAGAAGACACCAGGGAAGGAUUGAGAUUCUUUAAAAGAACUGAAACCUUUAGGCUCAGUGAUUUAUCCUACAAAAACAAAAGUGUCAUCUUUCUGUUGCUUAUGUGUGUAUCUGUGGCUCAAGUGAGUCUCCAAUUUAUUCUAUCCAGAGGAAGUAUCCACCCAGCAGCAGG
ensembl:lincRNA Gm11884 predicted gene 11884